rnacentral:lncRNA from 10 species
GCAGGCCUGUCCCUUUGCUUUCUUAAAACUGCGCACCGUCUGAGGCCACUUCGAGCCUACUGGAUCCCUGGUUCCAACCCAGUAGGAUCACAGAAGCAGGGCCAGCUGCCAGGAGAAAAAGUUGUUCUCUUCUACCAAAUUUUCCUGCCAUCAAAUGCUCAUUGAGUGACAAUAGAGAAAGCACCAUCAUCCUGAAGCAUCAGAUUGGGAGAAAAGUCCGCUCUCGAGAGCAUCAACUAUGUAGAAAGGGGACCAACCUAUGUUAUAUCUGCCUUAGUGCAUGGGCUGCUGGUCAAUGCUAACAGCUGGCUCUCAGGGAAAAAAGAAAAACCAUCUGUGGCAUCUGCCAAUUUCUGUGGUGUAAAUACUCUGAGCUCUGCCAAUUUCAAGCCAUCCAUCUGACAUUGCUGAACCCAAAGUUGGCAAGGGAUGUGCACAAUUGCCUUUUGCAAGCAAGCUUCUGCAAAAGACUUGAGACAGCUCACAAUGAAGUACUCUGUAUUAGGCAGGGUAAUAUUGAUUGCAAGUGACAGAAACCCAAUCAGAAACUCACUGGAGUCAUGAGGAACACUUAUUGGCUCAGAGUAAAGGCAAAAUAGACCUUCAGAGAAAUAAAGUCU